rnacentral:sRNA from 1 species
CCCCUUUGUAUCUUGUUGCUUCGGGGACCCUGCGCUUCGGGGCGGCGCCGAGAUCAAACACUGCAUCAUUGCGUCGGAGUAAAAGUAAAUGAAACAAAUUUCAACAACGGAUCUCUUGGUUCCAGCAUCGAUGAAGAACGCAGCGAAAUGCGAUAAGUAAUGUGAAUUGCAGAAUUCAGUGAAUCAUCGAAUCUUUGAACGCACAUUGCGCCCUCUGGUAUUCCGGGGGGCAUGCCUGUUCGAGCGUCAUUUCACCACUCAAGCCUGGCUUGGUAUUGGGCGUCGCGGUGCCGCGCGCCUUAAAGUCUUCCGGCUGAGCUGUCCGUCUCUAAGCGUUGUGGCAACUAUUCGCUUCGGAGGCCGGGCGGCCGCGGCCGUUAAAUCUUUCACAAGG